rnacentral:rRNA from 1 species
GACGAACGCUGGCGGCGUGCCUAAUACAUGCAAGUAGAACGCUGAAGGAGGAGCUUGCUUCUCCGGAUGAGUUGCGAACGGGUGAGUAACGCGUAGGUAACCUGCCUGGUAGCGGGGGAUAACUAUUGGAAACGAUAGCUAAUACCGCAUAAGAGUAGAUGUCGCAUGACAUUUGCUUAAAAGGUGCAACUGCACCACUACCGGAUGGACCUGCGUUGUAUUAGCUAGUUGGUGAGGUAACGGCUCACCAAGGCAACGAUACAUAGCCGACCUGAGAGGGGAACCGGCCACCCGGGGACUGAGAAACGCCCCAGACUCCUAGGGGGGGAAACAGGAGGGAAAUUUCGGCAAUGGAGGGAAGGUUGCCCGAGCAACCCCGGGGGAGGAAAAAAGUUUUUCGGGUGGUAAAGUUUUUUUGUAAGGAAAAAAGGGGGGGGGGGGGGGAAAGUCAACCCGGGGGGGGUAUUUAACAAAAAAGGGGCGGCUAAUUACGU